UACGUAGGGCGCAAGCGUUGUCCGGAAUUAUUGGGCGUAAAGAGCUCGUAGGCGGUUUGUCGCGUCUGCUGUGAAAACCCGAGGCUCAACCUCGGGCCUGCAGUGGGUACGGGCAGACUAGAGUGUGGUAGGGGGAGACUGGAAUUCCUGGUGUAGCGGUGGAAUGCGCAGAUAUCAGGAGGAACACCAAUGGCGAAGGCAGGUCUCUGGGGCCACAACUGACGCUGAGGAGCGAAAGCGUGGGGAGCGAACAGG
rnacentral:rRNA from 1 species